AGCAAUACAGAUGGAUUUUUACUGGGAUUUCUGAUCAUGAACUGGGAAGUUUCGCAGCAGCCAGUUCCAGGGACGCUGCUGGAAGGACCUGAGUGCUUCCAACAAAGGAGAAGAACGACAAAGGUGACGACAUACAUGAUCGUCUUCUGAACACACAGCUGCUACCCAACCGAAAAGCUCUACUCUACUCUACUCUGUCAUGAUAGCUUAGCCUGUAAUUUUCUUACUGUUCGUUAAUACACAGAUCUACCUAUAAUCAAUUCGCCCGAUUUUAGAAUAGUGUUAUUUCAUUGGAGCUCAGGUUUAUGGAAAAGCCUGGGUGGUCUACCAACUUGCAUAACUCUCAUAUACAGGCGGACGCUCUAGCAAAUUUUGAAAUUGUAUCCGUGCAAAUGAAUUUUUAAAGCCAUAAUUUACUCCAAAGGAGCAUGUUCUGGUUCUGCUAAUAAUAUUUCUGAUUCCCAUAGUUGUAUUAGCCAACUGACAUGAACUUGGACAAGGUAACAAGGAAACAUUCCGAGUACACUCCAAGUUAUAAUUAGAGUACAGCCAGGUGUUCCUAUUAUAUUGCGAAAAACCAUUGGACAAACUUCAACUGAGGCGAUCUUAAGAAAUAUUUUGUUGAUCUAAAAUUACGUUUGGAAUGUAUUUCUGGAGCCUUGUUGGACAACUUAUAUCCUUAAUGACUUUAUUUUCCACUUGCUUUUGGUUACAAAUGGGCUUUGAAAUUCGUCAAUCAUCCCAUUGAAAGCCAUACUUUAGACUUGAAAAUAUGCCUUUAAAAUUGGGGCGCUUUUAGGAUAUCUAGGUCCAAUUCUAAAAACAAUGUUUGUAGCGUGUAUGUGUGUGAAAGUUGUUCAUCAUUUUACAUCCUAAUUAACUGAAUUCUUUUUUAUUUGACCCCCAAAUUGACCUGGAACUUCAGCAAUUAUUCCACAGGAGCCCAUCAAGCAUCACACCCCAUGGGUCUACAUGAAGGGGCGCAACACUCAGUUACUGGAUUCUAAAUGGUCUGACGUCUUUUCUGUGUGUGUGCAACAACGGUGCCGAGGGGAGCGAUACAACACCCGGAACAGUGUCGCCCGAAGAAGAAUACCAGGCCGAGAGCAAAGCUGCAUGCUGACAAGCGAUUCUUCUGCAAUGUCAGGAGUACACAUUGAGGGCACAGGCAGUAGAAAGCCUGUCCUACUUCAACGGUCCCAGAAUAUGAUAUGGUAGAAAUGCCAUGAGCAUGCGCUGUUCAAAUUUGUAUAUGUAAUUUUGCGUGCGACAGGGAUCGUCUCCCCUCGAAUGUAUUUGGCGCGUGCUGGAAUGUGGUUUGAAUCAUCACUUUUCAGUGACUAAAGUCUGAAUUGUUCAAACAAUUGAAAAUGAAAAUUUGAACGUGUUUGAACCUAUUUUUAUACAUGUUGGAAACAUUGGGAAAGUAACGGUACAAAUGUCUCUUUAUUUCAAAGAAUUUAGAAACAUAUGUAUGUGUUUUUGUCAUCUUCCCCCAUAAAAACUUUUAUUACCCCCAUAAAACAAGCUGCAAAGCUGGAUCUUUUGUUUGGGUCUUGUAUCUUUAGAUUGAUUUUCUUUCGUGGGCACUGGUGACUCUUUGUAAGAUGUAAGACUCAAUUUCCUGUACUUGGAAGGGAAUGUGUGAAUUACCCUCUUCCCAGCCCACUGACCAUGUUAUUCACAGAUGUUUGCACAUGAAGACUGAACCUUUCUGUUUCACGUAAAAGAUUGAACAUAGGCAUGUUUUACACACAUAAGGCAGAACACUGAACAUACUUCUGGUAACACAGAAGUCCGAGUCAAUGGAUAUGAGCAUCCAUCUGUUUGGUAUGUUCAAGACUAUACAUGUACAGCAUUCCUUUUUCCUCACAGGUUUGUACAUGUACACCCUUCUGUUUUCCACAGAAGAUUGUAUAUGUAACCAUUACAUCUGUUUUUCAUAUUCUAUACUGCAGAUGUGCAGUUUUUAACACGGUACAUCUACAGUCUUUUGUUUUUGAGACGACCACCCUCUAAUAUAAGCACUUCUUGGUGCCACAGAUGCCAUAAAACGCCAUGAACAGAUUCCAUUGACCAGUGAAUUCUCUUUCACACUAUCUACUUAUCCAUGAGAGCAAAGAGGUCCCAAGUUUUUCCGCCUCCUUGAUGGGAGGUAACUCUGACUUGAUUAAUUCAACUUGAAACUAUCAUAAUAUUAUAACUAUUCUUUUAUAUUACCCCUCUUUCUUUUGUUAACAUAUGUGAUACCUUUUUUUAUAUCGACAUGUAUACCUUUAUUUAUAAACAAUGUUAUUACUACUAUUUCACAAAUCUAUUUCUCAACCUCACCAUAUAUAACUGACGAUAUGCACUAUAUCAUUUAUCAAUAUUAGCCCUGUUUGUUUUGUUAACAUGUAUACCUUUAUUUAUAUACAAUAUUGUAACAGUACAAUAUAUCAGUUAUCUAUCAUGAUAUUAACUAUUCUAACUAUUUUGUUCACAUAUAUACCUUUAUUUAUAUCUACAUAUAUACCUUUAUUUACAUACAAUAUAUAACAGUAUUCUAUAACAAUGUUAUUACUACUAUUUCACAAAUCUCUGUUUCUCAACAUAUAUGACUGUUAUCUGUCAAUAAAAAGCACUGCAAUUGUCGCUGUUUCAUUUGUACAUGUAUUUACCUUUAGCUAUAUAUCGAUACCUUGCUACCAUACAUAUAGCAGCA